GGGGCCCUUGCCCGGCAUGUUGGGGAGACACCCAGUACCCAAGCGCCUGAGACAGGACCCCAGCGGCUCCACCAUGGACUUGGUGCCAAGCUGCGUUUUCCUCCUGAUCAUUUCUCAAGGUCAUUCUCAGGAGUGGGGAGCGCUGAGACCUGUGCCUAUGCCUGUUGGUGCUUCCAUGUGAUUCUCAGUCCACCUUGUGUCUCUGUGUUUGCAGGUGUCCAGUGUGAAGAGCAGCUGGUGGAGUCUGGGGGAGGCCUGGUGCAGCCUGGGGGGUCUCUGAAACUCUCCUGUGCAGCUUCUGGAUUCACCUUCAGGGACUAUGGCAUGAACUGGGUCCGCCAGGCUCCAGGGAAGGGGCUGGAGUGGGUCGCAUACCACUACAUUGAUAGUUUUGGUAGUAGUUACAUAUACUACGCCGAUUCUGUGAAGGGCCGCUUCACCAUCUCCAGAGACAACACCAAGAACACGCUGUAUCUGCAAAUGAGCAUCCUGAGAGCCGAGGACACGGCCGUGUAUUACUGUGCAAGAGACACAGUGAGAGGAAG